AAAAAAAAAUAAUUUGGGGGUUUCAAUGGACCCAUAAUCAUGAUGAUGCCUAGAACAUAGUAUUCCUGAUGCACACCAGCAGAAUGUAAAAGAAGUGGCAUGCCAUGGAUUCCAUCAGCACCAAAAGUUAAUUUACAAAUCGCUUUUGACUGGCAAUUGAGUGUUGAUUGAUGCUUGGAAUUUGGCAGUUGGCAGAAGCGCUUUUUUCCCUGGGCUUUUGUAUUUGCAUGUGAAG
rnacentral:lncRNA from 1 species